CACGUGGGCAACCUACCCUGAAGCGGGGGAUAACAUCUGGAAACAGGUGCUAAUACCGGAUAAGAAAGCAGAUCGCAUGAUCAGCUUUUAAAAGGCGGCGUAAGCUGUCGCUAUGGGAUGGCCCCGCGGUGCAUUAGCUAGUUGGUAAGGUAAAGGCUUACCAAGGCGAUGAUGCAUAGCCGAGUUGAGAGACUGAUCGGCCACAUUGGGACUGAGACACGGCCCAAACUCCUACGGGAGGCAGCAGUU
rnacentral:rRNA from 1 species